rnacentral:rRNA from 1 species
UACGUAGGGCGCAAGCGUUGUCCGGAAUUAUUGGGCGUAAAGAGCUCGUAGGCGGCUUGUCACGUCGGGUGUGAAAGCCCGGGGCUUAACCCCGGGUCUGCAUUCGAUAAGGGCUAGCUAGAGUGUGGUAGGGGAGAUCGGAAUUCCUGUGUAGCGGUGAAAUGCGCAGAUAUCAGGAGGAACACCGGUGGCGAAGGCGGAUCUCUGGGCAACAACUGACGCUGAGGAGCGAAAGCGUGGGGAGCGAACAGG